AACCCUGGGAAACUGGGGAUAAUACUGGAUAGGCAAUUUUUCCUGUAAUGGUUUUUUGUUUAAAUGUUUUUUCGCCUAAGGAUGGGUCUGCGGCCGAUUAGGUAGUUGGUUAGGUAAUGGCUUACCAAGCCGUUGAUCGGUACGGGUUGUGAGAGCAAGAGCCCGGAGAUGGAACCUGAGACAAGGUUCCAGGCCCUACGGGGUGCAGCAGGCGCGAAACCUCCGCAAUGUGAGAAAUCGCGACGGGGGGAUCCCAAGUGCCAUUCUUAACGGGAUGGCUUUUCAUUAGUGUAAAGAGCUUUUGGAAUAAGAGCUGGGCAAGACCGGUGCCAGCCGCCGCGGUAACACCGGCAGCUCUAGUGGUAGCAAUUUUUAUUGGGCCUAAA
rnacentral:rRNA from 1 species